rnacentral:rRNA from 1 species
AGAGUUUGAUCCUGGCUCAGAAUCAACGCUGGCGGCGUGCCUAACACAUGCAAGUCGCACGAGAAAGGGGAGCAAUCCCUGAGUACAGUGGCGCACGGGUGAGUAACACGUGACUAAUCUACCCUCGAGUGGGGAAUAACUGAGAGAAAUCUUAGCUAAUACCGCAUAACACUUACGAGUCAAAGCAGCAAUGCGCUUGGGGAGGAGGUCGCGGCCGAUUAGCUAGUUGGCGGGGUAAUGGCCCACCAAGGCGAUGAUCGGUAUCCGGCCUGAGAGGGCGCACGGACACACUGGAACUGAAACACGGUCCAGACUCCUACGGGAGGCAGCAGUGGGGAAUUUUGCGCAAUGGGGGAAACCCUGACGCAGCAACGCCGCGUGGAGGAUGAAGUAUCUUGGUACGUAAACUCCUUUCGAUAGGGAAGAUAAUGACGGUACCUAUAGAAGAAGCCCCGGCUAACUUCGUGCCAGCAGCCGCGGUAAUACGAGGGGGGCAAGCGUUGUUCGGAUUUAUUGGGCGUAAAGGGUGCGUAGGCGGUUUGGCAAGUCUUAUGUGAAAUCUAUGGGCUCAACCCAUAGUCUGCAUAAGAAACUGCCGGGCUUGAGUAUUGGAGAGGUGAGUGGAAUUUCCGGUGUAGCGGUGAAAUGCGUAGAUAUCGGAAGGAACACCUGUGGCGAAAGCGGCUCACUGGACAAUAACUGACGCUGAGGCACGAAAGCUAGGGGAGCAAACAGGAUUAGAUACCCUGGUAGUCCUAGCCCUAAACGAUGAUUGCUUGGUGUGGCAGUACCCAAUCCUGCCGUGCCGAAGCUAACGCGAU